ACUGCCCUGAACGCAUUGAUCUCGCCUGAUUUUUGGGAGCUAAGAAUGGUUAGGCCUGGUUAAUACUUGGAUGGGAGACCAUUGUGGAAUACCCGGGG
rnacentral:rRNA from 1 species